UGGAAUGUAUAUUAUGCGAUGUGAUUUUAUUAAAUUUUGGUAGAUCGGAACUUUGUGUUAUUUGAGUGUUGAAUGCGUAUUUGGAAAGCGGUUUUGUUUGGUUUUAUUUGGGUGGCAUUUAGUUAGUGUUGUAGUAAGAUGAACACGGUGUGGAUGUAUUUGUGCCUUUUAUGUAUUGCUCAAUUUUUAACAACGCUAUCGAUACGCCCUUCUCCAGCCCAAUCAGAAGCCCGUUUAUUUCAACUAUUGACAAUAUCGGAUUAAGACAAGGAUUCAAUACGGCAACUUUCGGCUCACUAGGACCAUUCAGCAGUAAUUUCUUAAUAUGAAGAUGCCCGAUGUGUGACUCAUCAGUUUACGGAUAUUGCAGCGAAAAGUUGUUUCGCGAUUAUUGUUGCUGUAGCGACCCCAACGACCCCUACGAUCGGUUACUUUAUCAGUGUCAGUAUGCUGAUUGCAGUUUCCUGCACGCGAGAGUAUGAGACAUGACAGAAAAUUAUGAUAAUCAUACUAGUACAGUAGCCACUACCAAUAAAUAAUAGAAUAAUAUUUGUUGACAAAACACGAAAUUAUUACAACCCCUGUACGAAAUCAGACAGGUGGACAACUCAACCCCCAACCCAACCCCGCCACGUGCAACUUCACGAUAAGGGAGGUGAAGGUAAAUUGACGAAUACAAAUGGGACAGGGCGAGGACAGAAACGUCUUAUCAGCCCCUCGCAGUGCCACAGUGGGUCGACGCCGUUUAAGAUAUUUUGACAUCAGUUAUUUUUCUUUCCAUGUAUUGAGUAAUACGGAAUAAGUAAACAUAUAUUAUC